AGUAUAAGACAUGUUGCUAUUCUCUAGUUUGGUCAAGAGGCAUAUAGGAUUACUACAAAUCGCGUACCUUCAGCUUUAGGGAUAUUUUGCUUUUCUGGGGAUUGUCACCAAGAUCGAUCACGAGAAACGUCCUCGCUGAUCUUUUUUCUAGUUCAAAUUAACGAAACCCCAGAAGCUUUCUGUUGCUGAUAUGAAGAAAAAAGCAUCAUCGUCGUCGACAACAAUGGCGUUUCAAAGAGGCGACAGAGUCGAAAUUUCAAGCAACGAAGAGGGGUUCGAGGGUUCAUACUACACAGCAAACAUCAUCGCUAGGCUUUCCAAGAAAGAGUACAUUAUCCAGUACAGAACUCUCCUGAAAGAAGACGGUUUCGGGCCCUUGAGAGAGGUGGUCUCCGCCGAUCAAAUCCAGCCGCUUCCUCCACAGAUUCCGGUAACUGGAUUUUCGUUGGGCGACGCUGUUGACGCCUACGAGAAGGAUGGGUGGUGGGUCGGAAAAAUUAGCGGGAAAAUAGGGUCGAAUUACUUUGUGCAUUUUGAAAAUUCAAAGGAAGAGAUUGUUUUCCCCUUGGGAUUUUUAAGGGUUCAUCAAAACUGGAUUAAUGGUGCUUGGGUUUCUUCCAAAAGAUAAGGUACAAGCUAUGCUAAGGGUAAGGAGCUAGCUUAAGCUUCUAACAAGAAUACUAAGUGUUCAUUUUGUAUAAACAUAUGUUCACCACUUUUGGGUUAUCAUGUAAGUAACUUUGGGACUAAGAAUACUAAAUCAAGUACUCUAAAUAGGGUAUUAUAUGUCUUGUAAUGGAUGCUCCUGGAUGUUUUGUUGUAAAUUUGAUCUUGGCAUCAAUGAAAUAGUUGUUUGCGUAUA